rnacentral:rRNA from 1 species
GACAGAGGGUGCAAACGUUGUUCGGAAUUACUGGGCGUAAAGCGAGUGUAGGCGGUCUCGUAAGUCGGGUGUGAAAGCCCUGGGCUCAACCCAGGAAGUGCACUCGAAACUGCGAGGCUAGAGUACUGGAGAGGUUGGUGGAAUUCUCGGUGUAGAGGUGAAAUUCGUAGAUAUUCGGAAGAACACCAGUGGCGAAGGCGGCUCACUGGACUGGUAUUGACGCUGAGGUGCGAAAGCGUGGGGAGCAAACAGG